rnacentral:rRNA from 1 species
GACGAACCGUGCAAACGUUAUUCGGAAUCACUGGGCAUAAAGGGCGCGUAGGCGGCUUCAUAAGUCAGGGGUGAAAUCCGGCAGCUUAACUGUCGCAGUGCCUUUGAUACUGUGGAGCUCGAGGGAGGUAGGGGUCUGUGGAACUUCCGGUGGAGCGGUGAAAUGCGUUGAUAUCGGAAGGAACAUCAGUGGCGAAAGCGGCUUCCUGGUCCAGCACCGACGUUCAGGCACGAAAGCGUGGGGAGCAAACAGG